rnacentral:rRNA from 1 species
UACGAAGGGGGCUAGCGUUGCUCGGAAUUACUGGGCGUAAAGGGCGCGUAGGCGGCACUGUUAGUCAGGCGUGAAAUUCCUGGGCUCAACCUGGGGACUGCGCUUGAUACGGCAGAGCUUGAGGAUGGAAGAGGGUCGCGGAAUUCCCAGUGUAGAGGUGAAAUUCGUAGAUAUUGGGAAGAACACCGGUGGCGAAGGCGGCGAGCUGGUCCAUUACUGACGCUGAGGCGCGACAGCGUGGGGAGCAAACAGG